AGGCUUUGAUCCUGGCUCAGGAUGAACGCUGGCGGUCUGCCUAACACAUGCAAGUCGAACGGGGUUCUUCGGAACCUAGUGGCGGACGGGUGAGUAACGCGUGAGAAUCUGCCCUUAGGAGGGGGAUAACGACUGGAAACGGUCGCUAAUACCCCAUAUGCCGAGAGGUGAAACGGUGAAUUCCGCCUGAGGAUGAGCUCGCGUCUGAUUAGCUAGUUGGUGGGGUAAGAGCCUACCAAGGCGACGAUCAGUAGCUGGUCUGAGAGGAUGACCAGCCACACUGGGACUGAGACACGGCCCAGACUCCUACGGGAGGCAGCAGUGGGGAAUUUUCCGCAAUGGGCGCAAGCCUGACGGAGCAAGACCGCGUGGGGGAAGACGGUUUGUGGAUUGUAAACCCCUUUUGACCGGGAAGAAGCCUGACGGUACCGUUCGAAUCAGCCUGGCUA
rnacentral:rRNA from 1 species